GUGCCAGCCGCCGCGGUAAUACCGGCAGCCCGAGUGAUGGCCGAUCUUAUUGGGCCUAAAGCGUCCGUAGCUGGCCAGACAAGUCUGUUGGGAAAUCCACGUGCUCAACGCGUGGGCGUCCAGCGGAAACUGUCUGGCUUGGGGCCGGAGGACUCGAGGGGUACGUCCGGGGUAGGAGUGAAAUCCUGUAAUCCUGGACGGGCCGCCGGUGGCGAAAGCGCCUCGAGAGGACGGGCCCGACAGUGAGGGACGAAAGCCAGGGUCUCGAACCGGAUUAGAAACCCCUAGUCC
rnacentral:rRNA from 1 species